rnacentral:rRNA from 2 species
GAUGGGAGCUUGCUCCCUGAUGUUAGCGGCGGACGGGUGAGUAACACGUGGGUAACCUGCCUGUAAGACUGGGAUAACUCCGGGAAACCGGGGCUAAUACCGGAUGGUUGUUUGAACCGCAUGGUUCAGACAUAAAAGGUGGCUUCGGCUACCACUUACAGAUGGACCCGCGGCGCAUUAGCUAGUUGGUGAGGUAACGGCUCACCAAGGCGACGAUGCGUAGCCGACCUGAGAGGGUGAUCGGCCACACUGGGACUGAGACACGGCCCAGACUCCUACGGGAGGCAGCAGUAGGGAAUCUUCCGCAAUGGACGAAAGUCUGACGGAGCAACGCCGCGUGAGUGAUGAAGGUUUUCGGAUCGUAAAGCUCUGUUGUUAGGGAAGAACAAGUGCCGUUCAAAUAGGGCGGCACCUUGACGGUACCUAACCAGAAAGCCACGGCUAACUACGUGCCAGCAGCCGCGGUAAUACGUAGGUGGCAAGCGUUGUCCGGAAUUAUUGGGCGUAAAGGGCUCGCAGGCGGUUUCUUAAGUCUGAUGUGAAAGCCCCCGGCUCAACCGGGGAGGGUCAUUGGAAACUGGGGAACUUGAGUGCAGAAGAGGAGAGUGGAAUUCCACGUG